rnacentral:lncRNA from 1 species
UCGAAACCUACACGGACGCAGACCAAGCGUCGUUAAAGUCAGCAUCUACGACGAUAAGAUGUACUACUACAAGAAAUGCUACAGCCGACAACGUCGCUGCAUUCCAUGACAUUCACAUGUACUAUGAUAUCACGUUGUCUAUUUCUAAGAACUUGGUAUUCAUAUACUCAACUAUUCGCAAAAUCAAAGAUGAAUAAUUGAAAUAUAUCGAUUGUGCUUGGCGAGAAAAAACCUUGAAAUGAAACGAAGCAGGACAGAUCCAGCGGGGCUAUGGGGCUUAAGCACCCCUAUCCACAAGAAAAAAGAAAAUAAUAAAUUAAAAUUAUAUAUAUACUAG